GUGGGCGUAGCUCAAUAGGUGGAGCGUCGGGUUGUGGUCCCGAAGGUCGCCGGUUAGAUCCCGGUCGCUCACCCCA
rnacentral:tRNA from 1 species